UACGUAGGGUGCGAGCGUUAAUCGGAAUUACUGGGCGUAAAGCGUGCGCAGGCGGUUGCUUAAGUCUGAUGUGAAAGCCCCGGGCUCAACCUGGGAAUGGCAUUGGAAACUGGUCAGCUGGAGUGUGGCAGAGGGGGGUGGAAUUCCCGGUGUAGUGGUGAAAUGCGUAGAUAUCGGGAGGAACACCAGUGGCGAAGGCGACUACCUGGCCUGUUCUUGACGCUGAGGCGCGAAAGCUAGGGGAGCAAACGGG
rnacentral:rRNA from 1 species